UGGUGGGUAGUUUGACUGGGGCGGUCUCCUCCCAAAGCGUAACGGAGGAGCACGAAGGUUAGCUAAUCCUGGUCGGACAUCAGGAGGUUAGUGCAAUGGCAUAAGCUAGCUUGACUGCGAGCGUGACGGCGCGAGCAGGUGCGAAAGCAGGUCAUAGUGAUCCGGUGGUUCUGAAUGGAAGGGCCAUCGCUCAACGGAUAAAAGGUACUCCGGGGAUAACAGGCUGAUACCGCCCAAGAGUUCAUAUCGACGGCGGUGUUUGGCACCUCGAUGUCGGCUCAUCACAUCCUGGGGCUGAAGUAGGUCCCAAGGGUAUGGCUGUUCGCCAUUUAAAGUGGUACGCGAGCUGGGUUUAGAACGUCGUGAGACAGUUCGGUCCCUAUCUGCCGUGGGCGCUGGAGAAUUGAGGGGGGCUGCUCCUAGUACGAGAGGACCGGAGUGGACGCAUCACUGGUGUUCGGGUUG
rnacentral:rRNA from 1 species